UACGGAGGAUGCAAGCGUUAUCCGGAAUCAUUGGGCGUAAAGCGUCCGCAGGUGGCAUUACAAGUCUGCCGUCAAAGAAUGGAGCUUAACUCCAUCAAGGCGGUGGAAACUGUAGAGCUAGAGUACGGUAGGGGUAGAGGGAAUUUCCAGUGUAGCGGUGAAAUGCGUAGAGAUUGGAAAGAACACCAGUGGCGAAAGCGCUCUACUGGGCCUGUACUGACACUGAGGGACGAAAGCUAGGGUAGCGAAAGGG
rnacentral:rRNA from 1 species